UACAGAGGGUGCUAGCGUUGUUCGGAAUCAUUGGGCGUAAAGCGCGCGUAGGCGGCCCUGUAAGUCCGCUGUGAAAGUCAAAGGCUCAACCUUUGAAAGCCGGUGGAUACUGCAGGGCUAGAGUCCGGAAGAGGAGAGUGGAAUUCCCGGUGUAGCGGUGAAAUGCGCAGAUAUCGGGAAGAACACCCGUGGCGAAGGCGGCUCUCUGGAACGCAACUGACGCUGAGACGCGAAAGCGUGGGGAGCAAACAGG
rnacentral:rRNA from 1 species